rnacentral:rRNA from 1 species
AUUGAACGCUGGCGGCAGGCCUAACACAUGCAAGUCGAACGAGUGGCGGACGGGUGAGUAAUGUCUGGGAAACUGCCUGAUGGAGGGGGAUAACUACUGGAAACGGUAGCUAAUACCGCAUACCAUCGGAUUUGCCCAGAUGGGAUUAGCUAGUAGGUGGGGUAACGGCUCACCUAGGCGACGAUCCCUCGCCGGUCUGAGAGGAUGACAGGCCACACUGGAACGGAGACACGGUCCAGCAUCCUACGGGGGGCAGCAGUGGGGAAUAUUGCACAAGGGGCGCAAGCCUGAUGCAGCCAUGCCGGGUGUAUGAAGAAGGCCUUCGGGUUGUAAAGUACUUUCAGCGGGGAGGCGUUACCCGCAGAAGAAGCACCGGCUAACUCCGUGCCAGCAGCCGCGGUAAUAC